rnacentral:rRNA from 1 species
UACGUAGGGACCAAGCGUUGUUCGGAUUUACUGGGCGUAAAGGGCGCGUACGCGGCGUGGUAAGUCACUUGUGAAAUCUCUGAGCUUAACUCAGAACGGCCAAGUGAUACUGCUGUGCUAGAGUGCAGAGGGGCAAUCGGAAUUCUUGGUGUAGCGGUGAAAUGCGUAAAUAUCAAGAGGAACACCUGAGGUGAAGACGGGUUGCUGGGCUGACACUGACGCUGAUGCGCGAAAGCCAGGGGAGCAAACGGG